rnacentral:rRNA from 1 species
CAGUCGCCGCGGUAACACGUAGGGUGCAAGCGUUAAUCGGAAUUACUGGGCGUAAAGCGUGCGCAGGCGGUUUUGUAAGACAGAGGUGAAAUCCCCGGGCUCAACCUGGGAACUGCCUUUGUGACUGCAAGGCUAGAGUACGGCAGAGGGGGAUGGAAUUCCGCGUGUAGCAGUGAAAUGCGUAGAUAUGCGGAGGAACACCGAUGGCGAAGGCAAUCCCCUGGGCCUGUACUGACGCUCAUGCACGAAAGCGUGGGGAGCAAACAGGAUUAGAUACCCGUGUAGUCCCUGUCUCUUAUAC